UAAAAGUGAAUAUCCUUACCGUAGACAGCAGGUACGCCUUGUGCGUUUAAAAUAUGCCCGCCGAGGAAUUUAUAGAUGAACAGAUUUUCUGUUUUCUUGACCCUUCGCUGAUACGGUAGCAAGGGUCAUUUUUGUUUUUAAAA
rfam:Listeria floridensis FSL S10-1187 c1, whole genome shotgun sequence.